rnacentral:lncRNA from 1 species
AUGCUCCGAGCGGAGCCGUCGGAAGAGGACGCUGGAAGAUGGAUGGAUGCUCCCGUCAGCGCCGGCCUCGUGACCGGGAAAGGCGCCAGGAGAAGGUGGCACCGAGAUCCCAAAGGAUCAGAGCCACAGCACCGCCACGGAUCCCUGGGAUGGAUCCCAGCGGCUCUGACAGCACGGGAAGGCAACGGAUUCCAGCACAACCCUGGAUCCCAGCGAGACGGGGACCCCGGGGAUGGGGGAUCCUUAGGGAUGGAGGAAUCCCUAUGGAUUCACCAGCUCCAUUUCACCCCAACAGCAACUGCAGCAUCGUGGAUGGCCCAAAUCCUGGGGUGUGACGGGCUGGGGGGUCUCCCUGCACCCCCAAUCCUUCAAAGGCCUGAAAUUCCCGAAAAACCGCGGCUGCCUGUGCAAUCCCAACCCCCACCCGGGAGCACCGAGGAACAGGAGUCAAAUCCUCCCACACUCCUGCCAGGAGGAGGCUGCUCCCAUUCCCGUGCUCCCCCUUCCUCCUCCUCCUCCUCCUCCUCCUCUCGCCCGGCAGCGGCCGAGGAGCCUCCAGAAAAUCAAAUGGACAUUAAAAAAAAACCGGAUCAAAAACGCUCUGGAAAAGCCGAUGGAUCCCGGCGCAUCCUCCCUGCUCCCAGAUUCCCAAAUCUCCUCCUCUCUUCCCGGCAAUCCACCCCCUCCCCCCGCCAUCACAGAUCCCUUUUCCAGCUCCAAGGGGAGGGGAAAGCGCCCAACCGCCUGGAUUUUGGGAAUCUGGGGAAGGAUUCUCCUCGGGAGCAGCAAUCCUCAUCCCUGGAAGCAGAAAUCCUCUCGGAUCUCCUCCUGGGAGAGGAUGCAGCUUCCCAAAUGCGGAUGGGGAAGGGUCCGUGCCCUCCCCUCCCCGGUGCGGCGUUUCCAUCCCGAUCCCACCCAAAAACCGGGCAGGGGCGCCGGCAGCGCCGGAGGCUCCUGCUCCGCGUUAUCCCAGGGAUGGCAAAGUUUCCCUGCUGGCUCCGAGCUGGGGAAGCGGCACCGGGAAGUGAGGGGGGCAGCAGGAAAAGAGGGAGAAUCCCGCGGGGCGGAAAUCCUGGAAGAGGCCAGGACCCGCUUCCAGCAGGGAACGGGAAAAGGACCGGGAACGGCUCCCGAACCUCGGCACGGACGGCUGGGAACAAAGGGGGGCUGAUCCAGGGCUCCCAAUCCCCCAAAUCCCUCCGGGAACCCCGGGCAGCCCCCGCGCCUCUCCCGUUCUCCCGGGGGAUUCCCCAAAUCCCCCGGGCUGACCCCCAAAACGCCUCAGCUCUGCUCCCCAAAAUCCCUGAGCUCUGCUCCCCAAAUCCCUGA